rnacentral:lncRNA from 1 species
AAAGGGAGGCCAAUGGGACUCAAGAGACAAUCAGGAGAAGGAGGUUGUCUAUCUCUAGGAUGAUGAAACUUGCAAACUGUGCCAAACUUGCAGUCUCCUGUCUUCAUGUAGAACUGGCAUUCAGGUUGUCCUGGUCUCUCCGGGAAAACAUUCUCACUAGUAGGGAUGUUAACAUGGGUAGUUACCCAUGGGUUUACCCAAACCCAGAUUAGGAUGACUCAUCGAUCCCAAAACCUGCAUCCUCUCUCUAAAAUCUUUCUCAGGCACCACAACGUCUCUCAACCGCUUCACAGCAACCACCAAACCAUGAUCAAAGCUCGCCUUAUACGAAGACCCAACAGAUCCUUUCCCAAGAACCUCAGCCGAAGCCUUCAACAACCCGUCCAAAUCGAAUUCCCCGAAAGACUUCACGAAAAAGAUCAAAUCUUUACUCACCACACCGCUCUCCGCCGCCGCCGCCGUUUCCUUCGGUAUAACUACGGCGGUGGAGGAAGUCGUAGCGGCGGCGACGGGAGCUGCUUCGACGUUUCUCGGCGGAGCAUUCUCCUCCGUCUUUCUCUUCCUACAGAGACAGAACAGAACCAAGAGAAGCAGUAACAAACCGACAACGCACCCGAUCACAAUUCCGACGAUAGCUCCCGUUGAUAACCCGUCACUGUCUUUAGACGGCGGAGAAACGGCGCAAGACUGUAACGGCUUCCCACAGAGACUGUUCCCUUCGAAAACGGUUACGGGAAAGCCCGACAGCGAAUCCGGAAUCGAACCGUUUAACUGAUUGGAAGAAACAUUAAACUGCUGGAGAGUGAUGCUGAUCUCGGGGAUCGAACCCGUGAGCUGGUUCCUCUCCAAGUAGAGCGUAACCAACCGGGGCGCGGAGUUCACAUUACCCGGUAUCCUCCCCGAGAACCUAUUCUCCCCUAAAUUAAUUCUGAUUAAAUUCGGAAGCGUAAAUAAAAACGACGGAAUCUCGCCGGAGAAGGCGUUGCCUUGGAGAUACAAGUAACGGAGGAGGACGAGGUUGGAGAAGUCGGACGGGAUCGGACCGGAGAGGGAGUUGAACCGGAGGGAGAGAGUCUGGAGCUGAGUCAAGUUCCCGAUUGAUCCGAGUGGUAAGGAUCCGAAUAUGCCGGUUCCGGGUAACCGGAGGGAAGUGACCCGACCCGCGACGCAGUUGACUCCGUGCCAGCUGCAAGGAGAGGAGGCGGUCGUGUUCCAUAGGAGCGUACGGCCGCGGACGCUGCUGCGGAGGGUGAGUAAGGCUCGACGGUCGGAGUCGAGAUCGGAAGUAACCGCCGCGAGGUAGAGGAGGAAGAUGAGGGAGAGGAAGGAGAUGGAUCGGUUCAUCUUCCUCUCUGAGUUGUGUUUUUAAUUAUUGGUGCUUCUUUGUUUUGUUUUUUUUUUCGGUGAAUAUAUUUUGGAUUUUGAGAGAUUUUUUGGGAUUUUGUACCUUUUUGGGUAACGCGUAAAGAAGAGUAUGAACAGAGAGAGAGAGGAGACGGAUGGUGGAAUUCAAGAAGAGGCUUUUCACAUUAGUUUCAGCUCUAUCUCUCUAGAACCGGCCACAGAAAAAAGAAAGAUAUCAUAAUGGUACAAGAAGAAGAAGAAGAUGGAGAAUUUUUCAUUUCUGACAAUAAAUUAAAUGAAAAUCUUGAACCAUAUAGGUUGAAAUUUUCUUUUUAGUAUUUUUUGACAGGCUCUCAUAGUAUAAAUGAUCUAAUAUUUUAGUAGAUUUAAUAUUUUAAUUAUAAAUUUAAAAUAAUAUUUAAACAUGGUAAUGUUAAUGCUGAUGAGUUUUUCUAAAGAGUAAGUAUCUCAAGGUCAUGAAUAGUUGUAACGAUAAAUAUGACAGCUAUGUUAUAGAAAUAACUAAAUCUUCAAAAAAUCUAAUAACAAGGUCAUGAAUAGUUGUAACGAUCAAAAUAUAGUCAACUAGACAUCGCAUUACAUGAAUGGUGGUAAUAAAUACCUUUUUUAAUCAUAAUUACUACGGGCUGCAGUGAUGUUUCGUAGACGUUUAAAAGUUAAUCAACAACUGUUUUUCGAAAGUUGUUUGUGUUGUUCAGGUUAGUGUGACCAAAAACAAAGCUAGAUUUGUGAAUUUAAGUCUUAGGCAAACCGUUGACAAAAAAGAACCCAAUACAAUAGUGUCGAGCCACCGUUUUUAAUUAUUUUAUGAAAUUUGUCAGCUAAUUUUUUUUCUAAACAAUCCUAUCCGUGGCAUUGACCAUUUCGGAAAUAGAAAUGGUCAUCAUAAAGCUAACUAGUGGUUGGUGUAGACUAGUAUAUAGAAUGUUGGACUUUGAAAAUUUCAAUGGUUGGAAAUUCUUGUUUGCCAAAUCGAUUAUAUUUUCAACCCUGGUUACCUCAUAUGUUUGAUACCACUUAUUUGGAAAACGUAUAAAAUACACUUGCAUGUUAUUACUUUCUUGAGUGUAGUAUCAAACAAAACAACAUGUGAUUAGUUAAGUUGGUCACAUGAAAUCUUCUUCAAAAAUUUCAUGUUGCAAUAUGUUUAUUUCUUAGACAAUAGAGACAUACAAUUUUGACUUUGAAUAUACAGUAAGUUGUGUCAAGUCGUUAUUGCAUGGAUAAGUUUAAGGCCACUAUAUAACGAGAGAACGAACUAGGCCCAAUCUUUAUGUAUUAAAUAUGACUUCGCAUACGAGCAUUGUUAACAACUUAGAAAUAAUUGAAAGUGGAAUAUGAAAAUCUAACGCUGAACCGGUAAUAAGAAGGAAGAUUUCUAAACCAGAUCUUAACCGGUUAUACAUUUAUCAAAUUAUUCACCUGAUCCACCAAAAGAAUAUUACAACAAUGGCUAUCAGAUCAAGAUCAGUUGUGUAAUCACCUCCUCUAUACAUUAUUAUUAAUAUAAAUGCUUCAGAUUAAAACGUAAAAAAAAACGAGAAUUUACAGAUUUCUCUAUGAAAAAUCAAAGCUUGUUUUAAGCUCUCUUCUUCACUCACUGCUGCUGUGUAUCAAUGGGAGUGUCUUGACCAGAGGUUGUUGUUGUUGCUUGUCUUGUUUCAGACACUGAGACUCUUCUGGAAUGUCCACCUGAUGUUUCCACAACCUCGUCCGUCUCUGAAGCUGUGUUGUCGUACGCGAAUACUUCCAUUGGGUGAUUAAAUUUACAGCUUGGACCAAACUUGCAGAUCCCAUAGCGACUAUAGAACACACACACCGGUUCUCCCUAUAUCCAAAACAAAACAAAAAAACCUAUUAGAACCAACCAAAUUCAAUUGAACAUGCUUUUUGUUGAGCAGCUUACAGGGCGUAAAGGGAGGCCAAUGGGACUCAAGAGACAAUCAGGAGAAGGAGGUUGUCUAUCUCUAGGAUGAUGAAACUUGCAAACUGUGCCAAACUUGCAGUCUCCUGUCUUCAUGUAGAACUGGCAUUCAGGUUGUCCUGGUCUCUCCGGGAAAACAUUCUCACUAGUAGGGAUGUUAACAUGGGUAGUUACCCAUGGGUUUACCCAAACCCACUAAUAAUGGGCUGGGUUUUUACCCAUCUAAGAUUAAUU